rnacentral:rRNA from 1 species
CCUACGGGAGGCAGCAGUGAGGAAUAUUGGUCAAUGGGCGCAAGCCUGAACCAGCCAUGCCGCGUGCAGGAAGAAGGUCCUAUGGAUUGUAAACUGCUUUUAUUUGGGAAUAAACCUCUGGUCGUGCACCGGAGCUGAAGGUACCAAAUGAAUAAGCACCGGCUAACUCCGUGCCAGCAGCCGCGGUAAUACGGAGGGUGCAAGCGUUAUCCGGAAUCAUUGGGUUUAAAGGGUCCGCAGGCGGACUUAUAAGUCAGUGGUGAAAGCCUACAGCUUAACUGUAGAACUGCCAUUGAUACUGUAAGUCUUGAAUUCGGUCGAAGUGGGCGGAAUGUGUAGUGUAGCGGUGAAAUGCUUAGAUAUUACACAGAACACCGAUAGCGAAGGCAGCUCGCUAGGCCUGGAUUGACGCUCAGGGACGAAAGCGUGGGGAUCAAACAGGAUUAGAUACCCUGGUAGUCCACGCCGUAAACUAUGAUUACUCGUUUUCGGCGAUAUACUGUCGGAGACUAAGCGAAAGUGAUAAGUAAUCCACCUGGGGAGUACGAUCGCAAGGUCGAAACUCAAAGGAAUUGACGG